rnacentral:lncRNA from 1 species
GUCGGGUCGUGAUAUGAUCAUAAUGACUUGUUGGGAGCAGUUGUGGAAGACAUCGACUGUCGCCACACCCCGCCUCCAUAAAACCAAGAUACCCCCCGACAGUCCCUGGGAAUCGACUGCAUAGGUCUCCCAAUCCCUCUCCAUGCGUCGUCUCAAACGGCUGAGCCCAUCGCCAGAUAAUCGGGUCUCACAUAGGAAACAGAUCUCCGGACUAUGGACUUGUACUAAUCGUUUGAAAGUAGACAUGAAGGACGGCUUGGCCGCCCCCCUACAGUUCCAAGCAAGUAUCAUCAUGGGUCACAGUCCACAUAGUCGGCCUCAGACUCAUCCUCCCCCAGAGUCGCAGGGCCAUCCUCAGGCCC